AGUUCUGUAGUUUAAUAAAAAUAGUGAAUUGCAAAUUCAUAGAUGUUUCUUAAUUGGAGCUGGAAUUU
rnacentral:tRNA from 1 species